rnacentral:lncRNA from 1 species
AUAGGCCAAACAUAGCCCUUUGACAAUAAACCAUCUCCAACCGAGGAGGUCAAAGGAUCAUAGGCCAAACAUAAUUUAUUAUUUUAAUUAAAUUAAUAUGGUUAAUUAAAUUAAACUAUCAUAUUAAAAUAAGGUUUUUGGACAUAUUUUGAGUGCCACUUGUCGCCAAAUGAAUAAGCCUCCAGAUUUCUUAUCUUUAUAUAAUCUCAAUAAUUUUUUGGAUAUGAUUUCGAGCAACACAUGUCGCCAACGUGAGUAACUCUCCAGAUUUCUUAUCUUUAUGUAAUCUCAAUAAUUUUUCGGAUAAGAUUUCGAGUGACACGUGUCGCUAAAGUGAGUAACUCUCUAGA